rnacentral:pre_miRNA from 1 species
GUACUACUCCCUCCGUUCGGAAUUACUUGUCACAAAAAUGGAUGUAUCUACAAGUAAAAUACAUCUAGAUACAUUCAUUUCUUGGACGAGUAAUUCCGAACGGAGGGAGUAGUAA